GAUGAACGCUGGCGGCGUGCCUAAUACAUGCAAGUCGAGCGAACGGACGAGAAGCUUGCUUCUCUGAUGUUAGCGGCGGGCGGGUGAGUAACACGUGGAUAACCUACCUAUAAGACUGGGAUAACUUCGGGAAACCGGAGCUAAUACCGGAUGAUAUUUUGAACCGCAUGGUUCAAAAGUGAAAGACGGUCUUGCUGUCACUUAUAGAUGGAUCCGCGCUGCAUUAGCUAGUUGGUAAGGUAACGGCUUACCAAGGCAACGAUGCAUAGCCGACCUGAGAGGGUGAUCGGCCACACUGGAACUGAGACACGGUCCAGACUCCUACGGGAGGCAGCAGUAGGGAAUCUUCCGCAAUGGGCGAAAGCCUGACGGAGCAACGCGGCGUGAGUGAUGAAGGUCUUCGGAUCGUAAAACUCUGUUAUUAGGGAAGAACAUAUGUGUAAGUAACUGUGCACAUCGUGACGGUACCUAAUCAGAAAGCCACGGCUAACUACGUG
rnacentral:rRNA from 1 species